GCAGUUACUUGGUUGAAAAGGUUGAUAUGGAGGCAAAAAUUGCAAGGUUAGAAGUUCGUGCUAUUGGAGUUGCUUCGCAAUUAGAGUUGGGUCUGUUGAAGGUUAUAGGGGAACACAAUUAUUAUAAUGCAGCAGUGGCUGCAUUAUCCGUUCUUGGAUUGGGUAUCGGAAUUGAUAGCAAAGAAAUCAAUGCAACUAUCGACAAAUUAAGGCCACCACCUCAUCGAAUGCAAUUUGUGCACAAGGAUAUCCACGGGGUGACAUGGGUGGAUGACAGCAAGGCAACAAAUGUUGAAGCAAGUUAUGCAGGAUUAGCGGGUUUGAGGGGACAGAAAUCUGUCAUUCUACUCGGUGGCAUUGCGAAGGUUAUAGACGAACACAAAUCUAAUGGUUUUGAAAAAUUGAUAGAACCUCUUAAUCGUCACAAGUGUGUGAUCACUUUUGGAUAUUCAGGAUCACUUAUUUGUAAGACAUUGUUGGAGUCUGGUCUUAGUGUUCCCUGCAUUGAAGCUAAAGAUCUCGCAGAUGCUGUCAAUAAUGCUAGAACGAUAGCCACAUAUGGUGAUGCUAUUGUACUCAGUCCUGGCUGUGCGAGCUUUGAUGAAUUCAGAAAUUUUGAGAAUCGAGGAACAGUUUUCCAGGAGCUGGCAUUCUCAUCAUAGCUGAGUCUUUCAGAUCCUGGUUGAGAAUUUUGCAUUACUUUCAGGUGGCUAUGCAUUCUAGGAGAAACAUCUCUUUUCGACAUUGCUGAAACUUCGAUAUUAAAGAAAACUGUAAUCACCAUGAAUAUCAGGAGAAUAACUUCUCUGGUUACAUAUAUAUAUAUGUAUGUAUGUAUAUGUAUAUGUUUUUAUGGAUUAUUUUAAAAAAUAUGUUUUUAUGGACUAUAUUUAUAAUCAACAGUUACAAAUAUAAAUUUUAAUUCAUAAGUAUACAUGUAUGUCUGUUUGGAAUAACUAUGUUAACAAAUUUAUUUU